UUGAUUACCAUCACAAGCACUAUUGCAUCAUGUCUGAAAAGGCAUCCAAAUCCCAGGAAGAAGAAUCUGACGACGCUGGAAGCAGAGACUCCGGUUUACUGCUUGCAGAAAAACGUCGCCUGGAGGAAUUGUUAUCACAGAGGGAAGAAGAUGUUAGGAUUGUACGACAAAAGGUGGAGAAGAUGAAAGAACUCAAUGACUAUCUUUCACGUGAAAAUAAAGAAAUGGAUAA